rnacentral:rRNA from 2 species
UACGAACUGUGCGAACGUUAUUCGGAAUCACUGGGCUUAAAGGGUGCGUAGGCGGUUCGUUAAGUCAGGUGUGAAAUCCCUCGGCUCAACCGGGGAAUUGCGCUUGAAACUAGCGGGCUGGAGCGAGGCAGGGGUAUGUGGAACUUCCGGUGGAGCGGUGAAAUGUGUAGAUAUCGGAAGGAACGCCGGUGGCGAAAGCGGCAUACUGGGCCUUGUCUGACGCUGAGGCACGAAAGCCAGGGGAGUGAACGGG